rnacentral:rRNA from 1 species
AGUCGAACGGCAGCAAUGGACUUCGGUCUGGUGGCGAGUGGCGAACGGGUGAGUAAUGUAUCGAACGCCUUAGUAGCGGGGAUAACUACGCGAAAGCGUAGCCAAUACCGCGGGCACACUCGGGAAAGCGGGGACCUUCGGGCCUCGCACUAUUAGAGCGGCCGAUAUCGGAUUAGCUAGUUGGUGGUAACGGCUCACCAAGGCGACGAUCCGUAGCUGGUUUGAGAGGACGACCAGCCACACUGGGACUGAGACACGGCCCAGACUCCUACGGGAGGCAGCAGUGGGGAAUUUUGGACAAUGGGGGAAAACCCUGAUCCAGCCAUCCGGCGGUGCGAUGAAGGCCUUCGGGUUGUAAAGCACUUUUGGUGCAGGAGGUGAAACGGCACGGGAUAAUACCCCGUGCAACUGACGGUACCUGCAGAAUAAGCACCGGCUAACCACGUGCCAGCAGCCGCGGUAAUACGUAGGGUGCAAGCGUUAAUCGGAAUUACUGGGCGUAAAGCGUGCGCAGGCGGUUCGGAAAGAAAGAUGUGAAAUCCCAGAGCUUAACUUUGGAACUGCAUUUUUAACUACCGAGCGAUGUGUCAGAGGGAGGUGGAAUUCCGCGUGUAGCAGUGAAAUGCGUAGAUAUGAGGAACACCGAUGGCGAAGGCAGCCUCCUGGGGAUAACACUGACGCUCAUGCACGAAAGCGUGGGAGCAAACAGGAUUAGAUACACUGGUAGUCCACGCCCUAAACGAUGUCAACUAGCUGUUGGGGCCUUCUGGCCUUGGUAGCGCAGCUAACGGGCAGUGAAGUUGACCGCCUGGGGAGUACGUCGCAAGAUUAAAACUCAAAGGAAUUGACGGGGACCCGCACAAGCGGUGGAUGAUGUGGAUUAAUUCGAUGCAACGCGAAAAACCUUACCUACCCUUGACAUGUCUGGAAUCCCGAAGAGAUUUGGGAGUGCUCGCAAGAGAACCGGAACACAGGUGCUGCAUGGCUGUCGUCAGCUCGUGUCGUGAGAUGUUGGUUAAGUCCGCAACGAGCGCAACCCUUGUCAUUAGUUGCUACGAAAGGGCACUCUAAUGAGACUGCCGGUGACAAACCGGAGGAAGGUGGGGAUGACGUCAAGUCUUCAUGGCCCUUAUGGGUAGGGCUUCACACGCGCACAAUGGUCGACAGAGGUCGCUCAACCCGCGAGGGUGGUUGUCCCAGAAACCCGAUCGUACGUCCGAUCGCAGUCUGCAACUCGACUGCGUGAAGUCGGAAUCGCUAGUAAUCGCGGAUCAGCAUGUCGCGUGAAGACAUGUUCCGGGUCUUGUACACACCGCCCGUCACACCAUGGGGCCGGUUUUACCAGAAGUAGUUAGCCUAACCGUAAGGAGGGCGAUUACCACGGUAGGAUUCAUGACUGGGGUGAAGUCGUAACAAGGUAA